rnacentral:rRNA from 1 species
UGCUAAUACCGGAUAAGCCCUUACGGGGAAAGUUUUAACGCCGAAAGAUGAGCCCGCACUUGAUUAGCUAGUUGGUAAGGUAAAAGCUUACCAAGGCAACGAUCAAUAGCUGUUCUUAGAGGAAGACCAGCCACAUUGGGACUGAGACACGGCCCAGACUCCUACGGGCCGCAGCAGUGGGGAAUCUUGCACAAUGGGGGAAACCCUGA